rnacentral:lncRNA from 1 species
GCAAGGUGAAGGUGUUUAAACUGUUUAAGCUGUUGGACAAGUGGCACGAAGACACAAUUGGCAACAAUGGGAAAUUUCUACAGCUAUGUCUACAGCUAUUUCUAUGGCGAGCAAAGUCAAUCAACAGAAGUGACAAAUUUGCAGGAGCAGCCUGCAGAGAGUCCAUCCGAAAACUUAUCUGCAAGUUCUGCAAAUGGGUGCAUUCAGAGUGAAAACAUCUCUGCAGACACACCCUUCUUUCAUAACCACAUUGACGAUGUGGACAAGAGGAACAUUUUUGUGGUCAGUGGUGGAAAAUCUGAAGAAUUUACUGUAUUCCCUGCAGAGAAGAUCUCAGUCUUACUUGAGGAGGCAUGCGCCUGGGCCGGAAAAAAGCCAGAGAAAAUGAAUCUGUUUUUUAAAGGGGAACAGCUGGAUGUGAUGAAAGCCGUGGGUGAGUGUCCCGGCCUACGAAGAGGAAGCAAAGUGCACCUAAUUUUUGCUUCCUAAAGAACUUCACACUUUGUUUUUUUAAUGUACUGAAGUAAAGUGAAGUGCUCUUCAUAGUGGGACAGAAUGCACAGGAGCCUCUCACCCGUGCAAGUCAGCCUUCAGACUCAAUAAUAAGCCCAGUAUGGUGCACAUGUGUACAUUACGCAAUGCUGCUUGUGCUUUAUGUGCUGUCUGUAUUAAAUACCUCUGCUGAUUGGCAGUUGGCAGUUAGAAAUAGAGAAUAUAGGUGAAGUAAUAGAGAGUGAAGGGCAGCACAUAGCAAAUCUCUUAUAAUUAUAAUUUUUAAUUUAGUGAUCAAUCAGAUAUCUGGUUUUCUAGCUAGGUGGGAGUACAUUGUUGACUGACAGGUGGGCAGGAGGCAGUAAAGCUGCUGCGCUCCACUUUAGAGCUCUCAGGGCUUUGGCCUGCACUUGGAUAGCUACUCACUGUCCACUGUCCUUUCUCUCUGUGCUAGCUUCGAUGGGAUCUCUUGAAAUGAGAACUGAGAAAUGUUAUUGUCAUAGUUGUAUGUACAUUACAUUUUAAAUAAUGUUUUAUAAUAAACUUG